rnacentral:rRNA from 1 species
GUGAAGCCGCGAAUAGCUCAUUACAACAGCCACCGUUUACUAGAAUAUAGUUAUCCUACUUGGAUAACUGUGGCAAUUCUAGAGCUAAUACAUGCAAAAAAGCUCCGCCCGCAAGGAACGAGCGCAUUUAUUAGAAUAAAAACCAAUCGGGUUUCGGCCCGUAAUUUGGUGAAUCUGAAUAACUUUGCCAAUCGCACAGUCCUAGUACUGGCGAUGUAUCUUUCAAGUGUCUGCCUUAUCAACUUUCGAUGGUAGGUUAUACGCCUACCAUGGUAGUAACGGGUAACGGAGAAUAAGGGUUCGACUCCGGAGAGGGAGCCUGAGAAACGGCUACCACAUCCAAGGAAGGCAGCAGGCGCGCAAAUUACCCACUUCCAGAACGGAGAGGUAGUGACGAAAAAUAACGAGACAGUCCUCUUCGAGGUCUGUCAUCGGAAUGGGUACAAUUUAAAUCCUUUAACGAGGAUCUAUUGGAGGGCAAGUCUGGUGCCAGCAGCCGCGGUAAUUCCAGCUCCAAUAGCGUAUAUUAAAGUUGUUGCGGUUAAAACGCUCGUAGUUGGAUCUGCGGCCUCGGAGAACGGUCCCCCGAAAGGGUGGUCACUGUCUCUCCUAGCCUAAAUUCGAGUCGUCUCUAGGUGCUCUUUACCGGGUGCUUAGAGUGACUAGAACGUUUACUUUGAAAAAAUUAGAGUGCUUAAAGCAGGCGAAAUAGCCUGAAUAAGGUGCAUGGAAUAAUGGAAUAGGACCUCGGUUCUAUUUUGUUGGUUUUCGGAACCCGAGGUAAUGAUUAAGAGGAACAGACGGGGGCAUUCGUAUUCCGGCGCUAGAGGUGAAAUUCUUGG